GUCGCCGGCCGGCAGCAUGUUGCAUCCGCUCAUGAUCUUCAUGGUCGUCGCCAACAUGUCCAUGAGCAUCAUCUUCUGGACCUUCUUGAUGUCGGAGGUCUUCUUCAAAGAGGCAGAGACGGAGGAAGUGUCUCCGGCGUAGAGUCUGUCAGCAUGUAGAUCUCACACAGCUUCAUAGAGAUUCUCCUCUGCAGCUACAGAGCGCUUUCCCCCACAUUUUAAAGUUUUCUGUCAGCCUUUUUUUCUUUUGUCCUGUUUGUUCUGUAACGGGGCUGUAAAAAGACCGUUUGGGAAUUGUGGAGUGCUUGUUCAGUUACAGACUGGGUCUUUGGCCCUAAAACUGAAGCUGGUGAUUCUGAGUGCGGCCGUGAAGAGGAGAGGGUUCGGAUGGAGGAAGAGCGAGCCGGUCUGCUGCCGGGAUUCAACAUCACCGAGCCCCAUCAUCAUCCCAGGAUCCGGCCUUCAUUACAUCACAUCACUAUGAGUCUACAUACAGUACAGUCUGUGCCAGCGGUCAUUACUCUGGCUUUAAUGUUUUCACUUCAUCUUUAGCAUGUUUUUAUCAGACCAGAUGCUCUUUUAGCUGCUGUAGAGAAGCAAAGCGUAGAUAACAGUCUUUCAGCAUGAAAAGAGGGCGUGGUCAUGUGAUUGUUGUGAUGUCAUCAACGAAAUCGCUGUUCUGUGAUGCCAUUAAAAUUAAUUUUCGGAUAUUUCAUAUUUUGGCACUGUAUAUUUUAUAUAUAUACUGUAUAUAUAUAUAAAACAGAAGGCAUAAAUGCUCACUGCUGACACUGCAUUCAAACAGGGUUGUGUGUUCCAAACAUAUCGUAAGAAACCAUUGAUUCUUUUGGGAAACGCAGCACAGAACAAUUCUUAUCAGAGGACAGAAAAACAUAAUAUGUUUGAGUUAUUUCCCAAUAAACAAACUGAAGUUGUAGCCUA